GACGCGCGCCGCCUCCUGUUAAAGGGGGAGCAGCGCCAGCCGAGCCAAGCGCGCCCUCCCCCUCCUCACCCUGGGCCCCAGGCGCCGGCGCGGGAGAAGCCUGGGGUAAGCCCCCGCCCUGCCGGUGACCGCCUGGACCGCAGAGUGAGCCUAACCGCGGUACCCCUCCAGCGAUACCCCUGGCCAGUAGCGUCUGGCGCAGCCAGGGUCUCCCGAUCUGCGGAGGCUAAAGCAUUUUCUCCCCCUCCCCAAUAUGCAGUGCAUAUUGCGUGUCCCUGAGCAUGCAGGUGCCACUCGUGCACUGAACUUUGCAUAUGCAUACAGGUGCCCUGCGUGUACACUGCAAUAUUGCCUGACUGGGUGCAUGCAAAUGCUGCACAUAUGCAUAGUGCAUUGACAUGAGCUCAGGUCCUGAAUGCAUGCUGCUUUUUCCUUGUGCCUUAAGAAUACUGUAUGUGUAGAAGCUCACAGGUGCCAUAUGUGUGCAGAACGCUGUGGGUAAUUCGUAUGUAGAAACAACAGAAGUACCCCGCAGCGUGGCAUGUUUACUGCAUAUUCUGGUGUUAAUCGCUGUGGUGUUGCAUGUCCCUAGGCACGGGGAUGCUACACGUGUGCAGUAUGUUACAUGUUUUCCCAAGUCUCUUCUCCCACAAGUGCCUUUCUUUGUGCCAGGGGCGCCCCCAUGUUGCAUCUGUUUAUGUAGAAGCCACAGAGAUGCACAGACCCACCCCAUCCUGGCCAUGUGCCCAGGAACAGUUGGGUGGGGCCUAAGCCCACAUGGCUCAGGCGGUACCCAGAUUGAUGCCCAUGGCUCAGGGCUCUGGUCAGGAGGCUUGUGGCCUGGGCGUGUUGCCACCGGGAAGGUGGGCCGACUGGGGACACACCGCAGCAGCCAAAACAAGUAGGUUAAUCCGAUGACUCUGGGCAGAGAAGCCAGCAGGGGGCAGCUUUGCAACGAGGGUGGAAUGAUUUCGGGACAUACUUUGGAAGGUUCACACACGUGGAAAGGCCAGUCCUGUAAGGAUACGGUGAUCCUCAGCCCAUCCGUUGCUAACUUCACCUUUCCCCAUGAUAACUCGAGUUUUGUCACCCACAGACGGGCAAGAUGAUAAAAGCCCACAUCUUCUCAGAGGGGUUACCAGAACGAGGCAGAGAACUUCCUCUGUAGCCUUCCUCUGCCCCUCCCCGCUGAAACAGUCCUGGUGACAUUUGUUGUGAGUGAUUGGGAGACAUUAUCGACUUUAAUGGAAGGAGGCACUGGGACACAGCCUAUCAGCAAGUUUAUGUCUUCCUCUACCUCCAAAAAUAUCCCCAGUGUACCCACUCUUCAGAGCACCUCUGCCAACAACUGAGUCCAAGUGUGUGGAUUCUCAAACCACACCCCUGGGUUCCUACUCCUAUCUCUCUCGUGCCAGGACACUCUCCUGGGCUCACUGAACUAUCCCUUCAAUGUAAACACAAGUUCCUCUUCUUAUAGUCCCAAACUAUGCAUGUCCUUGUCCCUGUCAGCCCCUCCAGGCCCAUUCUCCUCCUCUCACUCCACAUGCCCUGAGCCCCAACUGGCCCCAUGACCUUCUCGAUGUUUAUGGAAACCUCCAAACUAGUCCCUAGCAGUUCCCAUGGCUCACCCCUUCUGAUCAGCUUUUGUAUUACUUUCCUGACUGCCCCUCUUAAAUCACCCCUGCCCCCAUUGUUCA